CAGCAGCCGCGGUAAUACGUAGGUGGCAAGCGUUGUCCGGACUUAUUGGGCGUAAAGCGCGCGCAGGCGGUCCUUUAAGUCUGAUGUGAAAGCCCCCGGCUCAACCGGGGAGGGUCAUUGGAAACUGGGGGACUUGAGUGCAGGAGAGGGAAGUGGAAUUCCACGUGUAGCGGUGAAAUGCGUAGAGAUGUGGAGGAACACCAGUGGCGAAGGCGGCUUCCUGGCCUGUAACUGACGCUGAGGCGCGAAAGCGUGGGGAGCAAACAGGAUUAGAUACCCUGGUAGUCCACGCCGUAAACGAUGAGUGCUAAGUGUUAGGGGGUUUCCGCCCCUUAGUGCUGCAGCUAACGCAUUAAGAACUCCGCCUGGGGAGUACGGCCGCAAGGCUGAAACUUAAAGGAAUUGGCGGG
rnacentral:rRNA from 1 species